ensembl:lncRNA
CACCAGCUUUUGGACCCCAGCAGGAGCCACAGCUGCGCCCCACCACCCCAGGAGACCAAGACCAGGGUUCCCAGAGAAGACACUCCGAGGCAGAGAUCCACAUGCAGGACAUUUGCCAGAGAGUGCUCUCAGAACGAGCACCUUGAAGGGACAGAGAGAGGCGGGAUGGACAGAAAGAGAAGCUGGAGCCUCAGAUAUUUCCACUCGCUGCCCUGGAGUGGAGACGGUCCCUCAGGGUCGUUCCAGAUCCAACCCAGGAGGGCAGGGGACACCGAUUCGAUCCCCGGUCUGGGAAGAUCCUAUGUGACUGAGAACAACUAAGCCCAGGUGCCACAACUACCCAGCCUGUGCUCUACAGCUGAGAACCACAGCUACUGAAGCCGGUGUGCCCUGGAGCCCGUGCUCUGAAACAAGAGAAACCACUGUGAUGAGAAGCCCGAGCACCACAACCAGAGAAAGCCCACACAGGAACAGACUCAGCACAGCCGAAAAAU